rnacentral:rRNA from 1 species
UACGGAGGGUGCUAGCGUUGUUCGGAAUCACUGGGCGUAAAGGGCUCGUAGGCGGCCAACUAAGUCAGACGUGAAAUCCCUCGGCUUAACCGGGGAACUGCGUCUGAUACUGGAUGGCUUGAGAUUGGGAGAGGGAUGCGGAAUUCCAGGUGUAGCGGUGAAAUGCGUAGAUAUCUGGAGGAACACCGGUGGCGAAGGCGGCAUCCUGGGCCAACACUGACGCUGAGGAGCGAAAGCCAGGGGAGCAAACGGG